rnacentral:rRNA from 1 species
AACGGCCGUACCAUGCUGAAUAUGCCGGUUCUCGUUAGAUCACCGAAGUCAAGCAUCAUUGGGCGCGGUCAGUACUUGGGUGGGUGACCACCUGGGAACACCGCAU